AGGGUGUAAACGCUGCAGACUUGGUGUUGGGAACCCUUCGGGGGUGCUCAGUGCCGGAGAGAAGUUGUUAAGUCUGCUACUUGGGAGUACGUCCGCAAGGAUGAAACUUAAAGGAAUUGGCGGGGGAGCACCGCAACGGGAGGAGCGUGCGGUUUAAUUGGAUUCAACGCCGAAAAACUCACCAGCAGCGACUGUUACAUGAAAGUCAGGUUGAUGACCUUACUAGAUUUUCAGAGAGGAGGUGCAUGGCGUCAGUGACU
rnacentral:rRNA from 1 species